UACGUAGGGCGCAAGCGUUGUCCGGAAUUAUUGGGCGUAAAGAGCUCGUAGGCGGUUUGUCGCGUCUGCUGUGAAAACCUGAGGCCCAACCUCGGGCUUGCAGUGGGUACGGGCAGACUAGAGUGCGGUAGGGGUGACUGGAAUUCCUGGUGUAGCGGUGGAAUGCGCAGAUAUCAGGAGGAACACCGAUGGCGAAGGCAGGUCACUGGGCCGCAACUGACGCUGAGGAGCGAAAGCAUGGGGAGCGAACAGG
rnacentral:rRNA from 1 species